CGUAAAGGGCUCGCAGGCGGUUUCUUAAGUCUGAUGUGAAAGCCCCCGGCUCAACCGGGGAGGGUCAUUGGAAACUGGGAAACUUGAGUGCAGAAGAGGAGAGUGGAAUUCCACGUGUAGCGGUGAAAUGCGUAGAGAUGUGGAGGAACACCAGUGGCGAAGGCGACUCUCUGGUCUGUAACUGACGCUGAGGAGCGAAAGCGUGGGGAGCGAACAGGAUUAGAUACCC
rnacentral:rRNA from 1 species